rnacentral:lncRNA from 1 species
GUGGAAUAGCUAGAGCACUCAAUAGGUCUUGAUCCUAUCAUAUCCACUGAAGCAUGUAAUUUUCUGAUGCCCACACCUAUAUAAAAUAAUGUGAAACCAGAUUCCCUCCUACCUCAGUUACCUAUUGUUUAGUACAUGGAGAGUGCCCAAUGCAUGCAUCGCAGAAACACUAUAUAGACAUAUUCUUUACUAUGAACCUAUUAGUUUUUUUUUUUUGAACCGGGG